GACGAACGCUGGCGGCGUGCUUAACACAUGCAAGUCGAGCGGAAGGGCCCUUCGGGGUACUCGAGCGGCGAACGGGUGAGUAACACGUGAGUAACCUGCCCCAGACUUUGGGAUAACCCUCGGAAACGGGGGCUAAUACCGGAUACGACACAGCUUCGCAUGGGGUCUGUGUGGAAAGUUUUUCGGUUUGGGAUGGGCUCGCGGCCUAUCAGCUUGUUGGUGGGGUGAUGGCCUACCAAGGCGACGACGGGUAGCCGGCCUGAGAGGGCGACCGGCCACACUGGGACUGAGACACGGCCCAGACUCCUACGGGAGGCAGCAGUGGGGAAUAUUGCACAAUGGGCGGAAGCCUGAUGCAGCGACGCCGCGUGAGGGAUGACGGCCUUCGGGUUGUAAACCUCUUUCAGCAGGGACGAAGCGUAAGUGACGGUACCUGCAGAAGAAGCGCCGGCCAACUACGUG
rnacentral:rRNA from 1 species